CCCCCUGGGGGAUGCCUUAGUACGGCGAGUGAAGCGGCAAAAGCUCAAAUUUGAAAUCUGGUACCUUUGGUGCCCGAKUUGUAAUUUGGAGAGUACCACUUUGGGACUGUACUUUGCCUAUGUUCCUUGGAACAGGACGUCAUGGAGGGUGAGAAUCCCGUGUGGCGAGGGUGUCAGUUCUUUGUAAAGGGUGCUCGAAGAGUCGAGUUGUUUGGGAAUGCAGCUCUAAGUGGGUGGUAAAUUCCAUCUAAAGCUAAAUACAGGCGAGAGACCGAUAGCGAACAAGUACAGUGAUGGAAAGAUGAAAAGAACUUUGAAAAGAGAGUGAAAAAGUACGUGAAAUUGUUGAAAGGGAAGGGCAUUUGAUCAGACAUGGUGUUUUGCGCCCCUUGCCUCUCGUGGGCUUGGGACUCUCGCAGCUCACUGGGCCAGCAUCGGUUUUGGCGGCCGGAAAAAACCUAGGGAAUGUGGCUCUGCGCCUCGGUGUAGAGUGUUAUAGCCCUGGGGAAUACGGCCAGCCGGGACCGAGGACUGCGAUACUUGUUAUCUAGGAUGCUGGCAUAAUGGUUAUAUGCCGCCCGUCUUGAAMCMCGGACCA
rnacentral:rRNA from 1 species